rnacentral:SRP_RNA from 12 species
GCCGCUGUCGGCUCCUGUGUUCGCCGGAAGGGAAGCACGAGAGACCUGUUAAACCGCGGGACACCGGGCGAGAUUGGAAACAGAGUAGCCUUACUCGCAGCAGUGCGCUGGUCGUACGGGAUAGCGGACGC